GAUGAACGCUGACAGAAUGCUUAACACAUGCAAGUCGAUUCAAGUUACCUUCGGGUAAUGAGGAUGGCGGACGGGUGAGUAACGCGUAAGGAACUUGCCUCUUGGUCUGGGACAACUGUUGGAAACGACAGCUAAUACCGGAUAUUAUGAGAUUCUCGCAUGGGAAACUUAUGAAAGCUAUAUGCGCCAAGAGAGAGCCUUGCGUUCCAUUAGCUAGUUGGUGGGGUAACGGCCCACCAAGGCGACGAUGGAUAGCCGGCCUGAGAGGGUGAACGGCCACAAGGGGACUGAGACACGGCCCCUACUCCUACGGGAGGCAGCAGUGGGGAAUAUUGGACAAUGGGCCACAAGCCUGAUCCAGCAAUUCUGUGUGCACGAUGAAGGUCUUCGGAUUGUAAAGUGCUUUCAGUUGGGAAGAAGAAAGUGACGGUACCAACAGAAGAAGCGACGGCUAAAUACGUGCCAGCAGCCGCGGUAAUACGUAUGUCGCAAGCGUUAUCCGGAUUUAUUGGGCGUAAAGCGCGUCUAGGCGGAAAAAUAAGUCUGAUGUUAAAAUGCGGGGCUCAACUCCGUANUGCGUUGGAAACUGNUUUUCUAGAGUACUGGAGAGGUGGGCGGAACUACAAGUGUAGAGGUGAAAUUCGUAGAUAUUUNUAGGAAUGCC
rnacentral:rRNA from 1 species